AGGCCGAAGACUUUGCCGGAUUAGCUGAGAGGUGGUGCAUGGCCGUCGUCAGUUCGUACUGUGAAGCAUCCUGUUAAGUCAGGCAACGAGCGAGACCCACGCCCACAGUUGCCAGCGUACUCUCUGGAGUGACGGGUACACUGUGGGGACCGCCGCUGCUAAAGCGGAGGAAGGAAUGGGCAACGGUAGGUCAGUAUGCCCCGAAUAUCCCGGGCUACACGCGAGCUACAAUGGUUGGUACAAUGGGUAUCUACCCCGAAAGGGGACGGGAAUCUCCUAAAACCAAUCUUAGUUCGGAUUGAGGGCUGCAACUCGCCCUCAUGAAGCUGGAAUCCGUAGUAAUCGCGUUUCAACAGAACGCGGUGAAUACGUCCCUGCUCCUU
rnacentral:rRNA from 1 species